UACGUAGGUGGCAAGCGUUGUCCGGAUUUACUGGGCGUAAAGAGCGCGCAGGCGGUCGUUCAAGUCGCGUGUGAAAGCCCCCGGCUCAACUGGGGAGGGUCACGCGAUACUGAUCGACUCGAAGGCAGGAGAGGGAAGUGGAAUUCCCGGUGUAGUGGUGAAAUGCGUAGAUAUCGGGAGGAACACCGAUGGCGAAGGCAGGUCACUGGGCCGCAACUGACGCUGAGGAGCGAAAGCGUGGGGAGCGAACAGG
rnacentral:rRNA from 1 species